AGAGUUUGAUCCUGGCUCAGAGCGAACGCUGGCGGCAGGCUUAACACAUGCAAGUCGAGCGGGUGUAGCAAUACAUCAGCGGCAGACGGGUGAGUAACGCGUGGGAACGUACCUUUUGGUUCGGAACAACACAGGGAAACUUGUGCUAAUACCGGAUAAGCCCUUACGGGGAAAGAUUUAUCGCCGAAAGAUCGGCCCGCGUCUGAUUAGCUAGUUGGUGAGGUAAUGGCUCACCAAGGCGACGAUCAGUAGCUGGUCUGAGAGGAUGAUCAGCCACAUUGGGACUGAGACACGGCCCAAACUCCUACGGGAGGCAGCAGUGGGGAAUAUUGGACAAUGGGCGCAAGCCUGAUCCAGCCAUGCCGCGUGAGUGAUGAAGGCCCUAGGGUUGUAAAGCUCUUUUGUGCGGGAAGAUAAUGACGGUACCGCAAGAAUAAGCCCCGGCUAACUUCGUGCCAGCAGCCGCGGUAAUACGAAGGGGGCUAGCGUUGCUCGGAAUCACUGGGCGUAAAGGGUGCGUAGGCGGGUCUUUAAGUCAGGGGUGAAAUCCUGGAGCUCAACUCCAGAACUGCCUUUGAUACUGAAGAUCUUGAGUUCGGGAGAGGUGAGUGGAACUGCGAGUGUAGAGGUGAAAUUCGUAGAUAUUCGCAAGAACACCAGUGGCGAAGGCGGCUCACUGGCCCGAUACUGACGCUGAUGCACGAAAGCGUGGGGAGCAAACAGGAUUAGAUACCCCCGUAGUCC
rnacentral:rRNA from 1 species